UAGUCCACGCCCUAAACGAUGUUCACUGGAUGUAUGGAUUUAUUUUGUGCAUCUGAGCGAAAGCAUUAAGUAAUCCACCUGGGAAGUACGGUCGCAAGAUUGAAACUCAAAGGAAUUGACGGGGGCCCGCACAAGCGGUGGAGCAUGUGGUUUAAUUCGAUGAUACGCGAGGAACCUUACCAGGGCUUAAAUGCAGAUUUGACAGGACUGGAAACAGUUUUUUCUCGGACAAUUUGCAAGGUGCUGCAUGGUUGUCGUCAGCUCGUGCUGUGAAGUGUCGGGUUAAGUCCCAUAACGAGCGCAACCCCUAUCUUUAGUUGCCAGCGAGUAAUGUCGGGGACUCUAGAGAAACUGCCCGUGCCAAACGGUGAGGAAGGUGGGGAUGACGUCAAAUCAUCACGGCCCUUACGUCCUGGGCUACGACACGUGCUACAAUGGCCGGUACAGAGGGCAGCUAACCCGCGAGGGUGUGCAAAUCUCAAAAGCCGGUACUCAGUUCGGA
rnacentral:rRNA from 1 species